CAGCCGUAAACAAUGUGCGUUAGGUGUGUCGGUAACCACGCGUUACUGAUGCGCCGAAGAGAAAUCGUGAAACGCACCACCUGGGAAGUACGGUCGCAAGGCUGAAACUUAAAGGAAUUGGCGGGGGAGCACCACAACAGGUGGAGCCUGCGGUUUAAUUGGACUCAACGCCGGGAAGCUCACCGGAUAAGACAGCGGAAUGAUUGCCGGGCUGAAGACUCUGCAUGACUAGCUGAGAGGUGGUGCAUGGCGUAGACGUCU
rnacentral:rRNA from 1 species